UUCGUUCUUCUACCCCAUCAGAACCUACCCCUCUUUCAUCAAAUUUCCAAUUUAGCUCCUUUCCUUCUUUUUCUUUUUAUUUUUUUUGUUACUUUGUUCCAUAAAUUCUUGUACUCAUUUAGCCCCGAAUUUUACGCCCCAAUCCCUCCCCAAAUUGCAAAAUCAAGAUCUCUUUCUCCUCCUCUUACUGUUUCCAGAACAUAUGGAGAAAAUGUUGUGGAAAUCAAGAGGAGAAUUAGUCCAAGUUCAAUGGGUAGGAUAUAUAUUUUCUUGAUUUAUGGUUUCACUGAUUUGGUUCUCUUUCCUAUCAAUUUGAUUUCUAAAAUCUCAAUCUUGUUUGAUUUUUUCUUUUCAAAAGCUUUCCUUUCCUAACCUGAAUUUUUGCUCUAUUCAUAUAUGGCCGAAUUUCAGUAAUAUUCUGGCACUUUUCUAUAUAGACUAGAUCAUUUUCUUUCCAAAGUUGGACCUUCAACUUUUGGUAAUUGAUUCUGUCAAAAUUUUAUUCCUUACUAAUUAGCGACCUUCAAUUUCGCCUGUUUUACCAUUUAUAACUUAGAGGCUUAGUAGUUGUGAAGAUGGAGAAGUGAAUGACAAACGGAACUCGAGCUUGGGCUCCAAUGGUGGAACCCUAGAAGGUUCUCGAAGAAAGAGGGAAGAAUGAGAAAAUCUGAUAAGUGGAAAUGAACCAACUAACUCAAUAUUAUCUGUGCAAAGGAGUACAUAUAUAUAUACAACACGUGAGACUAACACUUAACAGAGUAAUUGACUAACAGCUAACAACUAAGCUAAGACUACAUAUACUUAAUACAAUAUCUCAAUACCCCCCCUCAAGUUGGAAGUGAGGUUGUCACUGCCAACUUGCUCAUAACUGUUGCAUGCUUGACUCCAGUAAGGGCCUUGGUUAAGACAUCAGCUAACUGGCAAUCAGUCCCAACAUGAUGAAGAGACACCAGUCCUUCCUGCAGCUUGUCUCUCACAAAAUGGCAAUCGACUUCAAUAUGUUUGGUUCGUUCGUGGAACACAGGAUUUCGAGCAAUGUGUAGAGCUGAUUGGCUGUCACAAAACACUGGGAUAGGCUUAGGAAAAGGAACUGUCAGCUCAUCAAAUAAUCUGCACAAUCAAGCAAGUUCACCAACUACAUUUCUCAGGGCUCUAUACUCUGCUUCAGCAGAGGAUAGGGAUAUGGUGGCCUAUUUUUUAGACUUCCAGCUGAUUGGACUAUCACCAAGAAGUACCAAAUAUCCACUAACAGACUUCCUAGAAAUUGGACAAGCUGCCCAGUCAGAGUCACAAUACCCUCUAACAGAACAAUCAGAAUUGGCAGACAUGAAGAUCCCAAGGGUAGGAUCAGUCUUCAAAUAUCUAAGCAAAUGAUAAGCAGCCUUCAAGUGAGGUUCUCUGGGAUCUUGCAUGAAUUGACUAAGGUGUUGCACACUGUAUGCAAUAUCUAGUCUUGUAUUUGUGAGGAAGUUCAAUUUACCUAUCAGGGUCCUAUAGAUAGAAGGAUCUGUUAAGGGCACACCUUCCUUAGCUUUGAGUUUGGCAUUGGGAUCCAAUGGUGAACUGAAAGCACUACAAUGGAGGCACUCAUACUCCUUCAGUAGAUCAAGUGCAAACUUCCUUUGGGAGAUUAUGGCACCAUCUUCCCUGUAGAGAACUUCCAAACCUAGGAAAUAAUGUAAUCUUCCCAAAUCCUUGAUUCUAAAUUGAGCAUGCAGAAAGUUUUUCAACAAGGUGAUCUCCUUUGAGUUGCUCCCUGUAAUGAUUACAUCAUCAACAUAAACAGCAACAAAGAUAAUAGAGGAGUCAGUCUUCUUGUAAAACAGAGAAUAGUCAUUAAGGGAGUGAACAUAUCCUUUGGAGCAUAGAGCCUCAGCUAGUUUAGCAUACCACUAUCGAUUGGCUUGUUUCAAGCCAUAUAGUGAUUUGUUCAGUUUGCACACUAGUCCACGUGCAUCAACCAAUAGGCCAGGAGGUAAAUCCAUGUACACUUCCUCAUGGAGAUCCCCAUGAAGGAAGGCAUUAUUUACAUCAAGUUGAAAGAUUCCCCAAUGUUUCUUUACUGCAGUUGCUAUGAGUGCCCUGAUAGUGGUCAUUUUUACAACUGGUGAAAAGGUCUCAGUAUAAUCAACACCAGCCUGCUAGGUAUACCCUUUCACCACCAACCUGGCCUUGAAUCUCUCAAUACUACCAUCAGCUUUGUGUUUGAUUUUACACACCCAUCGACAGCCUAUUGGCUUCUUCCCUGUAGGCAAAGGAACUAAGUCCCAAGUGUGAUUGGCAUGGAAUGCCUCAAACUCUAGUGUCAUGGCUGCUUGCCAAGCAUGGUCCAAAGCUGCUUCCUCAUAAGAGUUUGGCUCACUGUCAUGACAAAUACUUUGCACAAGGUGCUGACUAUCAGGAACUAAGGAGGUGAAGGAAACAUGGUGGUGUUUAGAGAAAAGAGCAUUAAGAGAGAAAGAGGAAUUUGAAGUGGAUGUGGGGGCAGGAGAUGAUGAAACAAAUGUAGGAUGUGUAUCAGGAUGUAAGUUAGGCAUGGAACAGAUAUAAUCUUUCAAAUGCACAGGUAAGUGAUGCUCUCUAGUGGACCUUCUAGGUACCUGGUUGGUUUGAGUUAAAGGUGGUGAAGAAAUAACAUGUGAGGAGUUACUAGGAGAGUGUACAGCUGAACUGUCUACAGGUGGGACUGUAGUGGAGACAUCAUCAACACAUGUUAAUGGUUGAGGUGUAUGAAGAUUAGAAUGUGCCUCAGUAAGUGGCACAUCCUGUGUAGCAGAAGUAUAUUCAAGAACUGAAGGAAGAUGAGAAGAGGAGUUAGGUAAGAUAGCAAAAGGGAAAAUAUGCUCAUGAAAGGUUACAUCCCUGGAAACAUGAAUCUUCUUAGUGGCCAAAUUGAGAACUUUGUACCCUUUUGUGUCAUAAGGAUAUCCCACAAAGACAUGGGGAGUAGUCCUAGGUUCAAAUUUAUCUCUGUGAAUCUUGGGUGUAGCGGGAAAGCAUAGGCAUCCAAAGCUUCUUAAGUGGGAAUAUGUUGGUUUUUUGUUAUAAAGAACUUCAAUUGGACAUUUAUUCUUCAGGUAAGUAGUGGGGAGUCUGUUUAUAAUAUGAGUGGAAGCCAGUACACACUCACCCCAAUACUGCAAGGGUAACUUGGACUGGAAAAGGAGUGCCCUGGAAGUUUCCAAAAGGUACCUAUGUUUUUUUUCUACGACCCCAUUUUGUUGAGGAGUGUAGGGACAUGUUCUUUGAUGAAUAAUCCCUUUUGACUGAAAAAAGGAUGAGGUUUCUGUAUUUAUAAAUUCUGAACCAUUGUCUGAUCUGAGGUACUUUACAUUUGUUUUGAAGUGAGUUUCAACCAAGGAUAUGAACCCUUUGAUGACUUGCAAUGCAUUGCUUUUAUUGGUCAAGAGGUGGGUCCAGGUGGCCCUACUAUGGUCAUCCACUAGGGUGAGAAAGUAUUUAUAGUUGUCAUGGGUGGCCACAUGGUAGGGUCCCCAGAGGUCUACAUGAAGGAGUUCAAAAACAGAGGUUGUGGUGCUGGUUCUGUGGGGGAAUGCAAGUCUAGGUUACCUGGCCAUGAGACAAAUAGAGCAGAGAAAAGGUUGUUUGGUUGAGAACUGAACAGGAAUAGAGGAUAUCUCCCUCAUCUUGACAAAAGGUACAUGUCCCAAUCUAUAAUGCCACAAUAAGUCAGCUUGAUUCAUAUCAGACAAGAAAGAGUGUGAUGGAAAGCACUGAGUUUUAUUACCAAUGGAAUUAUUUACAAGUGAAUGUGAAUUGCAAGUGGAAACAUUUACAAGUGAAUCAGAAUGUUGACAGUGCAGGCUAUUUACAUCAGAAGUCUUAGACAAAACAGAAUCUGAAAAAGACAAAGAGGCAGGUGAAGUGGAGCAGGAAUUCUUCAAACAGCUUGAACAUAGGAGGUAUAAGCCAUCCUUGACCUUACCAAUCUCCAGAGGCCUCUUCAUUGAAGGGGCCUGCAGUAGACAUGGGAAGUCAGAAAAGGCUACCAAACCUUUAAAUUGAGAAGCUAAAGAAUGUAUUGAAAUAAGGUUGUAUUUGAAGGAUGGAACAUAGAGAACUCUAUGUAGGAUAAUAUUUGGUGCAAGAGUAAUUGUUCCAAUUUCAAUGACUUUAACUCUAUAGCCGUUUGGUAAAGUAAUUAACAUAGGAUACACUAAGGUUUUAAUGUGAGUGAGUAAGGACUUGUUGAAGGUCAUAUGAUUAGAGGCCCCGGAAUCCAGAAUCCAAAUGUCAGCCCUUGACUUAAAGCAUUUACAUGACAGUAAUCCAAAAUCAACUGAGAGAAUAGAUACAGAGCAAGCUAGAAUACCUGCAAAAUUCACAUUCCCACCAGUGAUGUUAUCUGAGUUAUCUCCACCAGAGUUAGUCUGAAAAUGCUGGAGUAAAGUCACCAGUUGCCCAUAUUGUUCUUUAGUGAGACUAACAUUGGAGUUGCUGCUUUGGGACUGUAUUUCCUCACCAUUCACAAGAAAUGCAUCAACUGGAGUGUUGUAUACAUUGGCCGCAGUUCUUUUGCCUUUAUUGUACUUGGGAUUGUGAUUGAAAUCUUGCGGAUAACCGUGGAGUUUGAAGCAUUUGUCUUUAGUAUGACCAGCACGCUUGCAGUGAUCACAAAAAGUGCGAGGUCUGCUAGUGGAGGAAUGGUUAUUUGGCGAGUAAUUGGUUCUGAAGUUGUUAUUGUGCAUAGGUGCCCUGUUUAAACCGUUGUAUGCUGGAACAUUGGCAUUUAAGGACACAGAUUCCAUCACGAGCUGAUUGUGUGGUUUCACUUCUCUUUGUUUUUCCUCCUGAAUGAGUAAAGAAAAGGUCUGUGCCAUAGAAGGCAAGGGAUUCAUCAUGAGUAUACUGCCGCGCACCGUGGUGUAUACCUCGUUUAAUCCCAUGAGAAAUUGGAUAAGUCUUCUGUCUUGCUCAGCUUUGUGCAUAUUUUCCUUAGCCCCACAGGUACAUUGGCAACUACACUGUGACUUGGCAUUUAUCAUGUUCAAUUCCUCCCAAAGUUUCUUCAUUUUUGUGUAGUAUCCAGUAAUAUCAAGGACUCCUUGAGUUAAAUCGUUGAUUUCCUUUUGGAUUUGGUACAAUUUGGUGCCGUUAGUAUGGUCGUACCUGUCCUCUAACUCUCUCCACAACUCAAAGGCAUUACUAGCAUAUUCGACACUAUCAGCACUAUCUUUGCACAUAGAAUUCAGGAUCCAUGAGGUUACCAUAUCAUCGCACCUCUCCCACUGACGAAAUUGUGGGGAAUCUAGGUCUGGGCGUUUAUACUCUCUAGUGAUAAAGCCUAUCUUAUUUUUGACUGAAAGAGCUCUAAGAACACUUCUCCUCCAGGAUCUAUACCCGAUGCCAUUAAACGGAGCUGUCACUAGCAUCGCACCAGGAUUAUCCGACGGGUGCAUGUAGAAAGGGCAGCUCAGAUUAAUUUUGGAGUCGACGCCGGCGACGGGAGUAGAGCUACUCGAUUCAACUCCAGAUUCAUUGUUUGGAUCAAGGAUAGCCAUGACAGGUAGUAUCAAUUUGUUGAAGAAUGAAACAGAAAAGAGAAAAAAUGAUGGAACGAGAAAAAUUGGGGCGAAACUUGAGAACUCAAUUGAGAUCGUGAUUCUGGCUUUAGAACUCAAUUGAAAGAGAAAUCGAGGACAAUAGUGAGGUGACUACUGUGCUCUGAUACCGUGUGAAGAUGGAGAAGUGAAUGACAAACGGAGCUCGAGCUUGGGCUCCAAUGGUGGAACCCUAGAAGGUUCUCGAAGAAAGAGGGAAGAAUGAGAAAAUCUGAUAAGUGGAAAUGAAACAACUAACUCAAUAUUAUCUGUGCAAAGGAGUACAUAUAUAUAUAUAUAUACAACACGUGAGACUAACACUUAACAGAGUAAUUGACUAACAGCUAACAACUAAGCUAAGACUACAUAUAAUUAAUACAAUAUCUCAAUAGUAAUUCCUUAGCUAUUAAUAUCCUAUUGCUAAAACCAUAGAAAGGGGGACCUGGAAUCACGAUUUUCACUACUAUAGCUAUUCUUAUUCUUUCACUACUCCUCUGUUCUUCCGGGUACAAAUCGAGGCAGAGCUUUAGUCUUUAUAUUUUUCGAUACAAAGUUUUUGUCUUUAUGUUCGUUCGAUACAACCGGGAUAUAUCGAGUUAGAGUAUUGCUUUCUCAUUAUUGUUGUUGGCAUUUUCGCACGUAUUACUGCAUACUGUGGAGAGUAUCUGGCUUAUUUGUUGCUGUUGAAGUUACUGGAUUUCUAGUCUUCUUAUUAUAUUGUUAUUCCGCUCUCCAACUGGUUAGUUCUCUGAACGAUGCAUUAUAAAUUUUUUUUAUGUGUUAGUUGUUUGGAAGAAUAGACUAGUUGUUUGUUCUUUGCUCCCUUAAAUUUUCAUCCUUUUUAUUCUAUUUGCGCGCUUUAUUUGCACUUGGCUAUGCUGAAAUGCCGUGCGGCAUUCCAUUGAACGCAUGCCAAGAUUAAAUGCCCAGGUGCGUCUUUUAUACCUCAUUUUGUGCUUAACACCAUUUGCAUUGUGGUUCUGGUGCGCUAAGAACUUGACGGUAGAAUUAUCAUCAGUUUGACCUGUUCGGAUUUGUUCAAAGUAUUCUGUCAACUAAAAAUCGUGACUUAGGUAUAACCAAAUAGAUAAUGGAUUUAUGUACGUGCAUAUGUUUGGCUAAAGUUUAGUACAUAUUUGAGUUUCUGUAUUUCACUUAGAACACCAUGCCCUUAGGACCAAAAGAUUAAUUCGGUACUUCUUUUAAUGAAAAGAUCCUGCCUAAAACAUAUAUGCUUACUCUCGGUGAUUUGAUUUUGUUACCAGAAUUCGUUUUCCAUGUUUAUUUUCGAACUAAUGAAUUUGAAGUGAUGGAUUCCAGGUGUAGUGAGAUAACUCACGAAUUUUGCCCAAAUUUGGCUUAGAAUCUUCCUUGCUACUGUAAGAUCUCUACUACCUGAACGUACCUCGUUGUAUAACUAUGUAGUAGUGAAAGGUACUGUUGGGUUGGGAAUUUAUAUGCUAAUUGCUAUUUGUGUACUUCUUUACUCGUCUUUAUAGAUUAAUGGCAUGCAUGAAUUAUCUACUUUUUUUUUAACACCUAGAUACCAUGAUUAUAGGAUUUGAUUCACCUCUACAAGUGUAUAUCAAUGCUGAUAACUCUGUAAUCCAUGCCUCUGUUUGUUUGCUUUGAAUGGUUAAUAGAGCUAUCAUUUAGAUAUCAUGCUUUAGAUAUAAUUUCAUUUAGUGAUAUACUGAUAUUACUAAUCAAACUGGUUUUGCUAAUAAUCUGGAUACUUUGAACUCGUGACACGCCUAUUUCUCGAAUGAACAAUACCCUUACGUGUCCUUUGUUCAGAUGUUUGUUUAAGACAUUUUUGAAUGCUUCCAUGCAUUUAUGGUGCGUUUAAAGUUACGGAGGCCUAGAACAAUUGUUCUGGUUAAGAAUUUGACCCUGAGUAUUGGCAAGGGUCAGAAGAUUCUAUGAGGAGUUAGCCCGAGUUGAAAGUCUGUUUUAGUUAAUUUCCUAAGACCUAUGUUGUAUUUUUACUCAGCUGGUCUCAUAAUAACUCUGUAAUAUUGAAAUUGAGUUACUGCAGGAGGGUGAUUAUUUCAUGCUUGUGUGAUACGUGAUUACUUGCUGUUAUUUGUCUUUAUUUAUGCUCGAGAACCUUUUUAACAUGUUAGGUGCAUAGUUAUUUUUUAUGUUUGUAGCGUCAGGUCCUUAGCAAUAUUUACUUUAGUAGUAAGUUGGGAUCAUUUUAAA
rnacentral:lncRNA from 1 species